rnacentral:tRNA from 1 species
GCCGGAAUGCAUACUUUGACCGCCUCCUAAGCGGUAGGUCACAGGUUCGAUUCCUGUCCUGGGCGCCA